rnacentral:rRNA from 1 species
CAUGUAGGCGGCUUAAUAAGUCGAGCGUGAAAAUGCGGGGCUCAACCCCGUAUGGCGCUGGAAACUGUUAGGCUUGAGUGCAGGAGAGGAAAGGGGAAUUCCCGAGUGUAGCGGUGAAAUGCGUAGAUAUUGGGAGGAACACCAGUGGCGAAGGCGCCUUUCUGGACUGUGUCUGACGCUGAGAUGCGAAAGCCAGGGUAGCGAACG